rnacentral:rRNA from 1 species
GACGAACGCUGGCGGCGUGCCUAAUACAUGCAAGUCGAACGCUUCUUUCCUCCCGAGUGCUUGCACUCAAUUGGAAAGAGGAGUGGCGGACGGGUGAGUAACACGUGGGUAACCUACCCAUCAGAGGGGGAUAACACUUGGAAACAGGUGCUAAUACCGCAUAACAGUUUAUGCCGCAUGGCAUAAGAGUGAAAGGCGCUUUCGGGUGUCGCUGAUGGAUGGACCCGCGGUGCAUUAGCUAGUUGGUGAGGUAACGGCUCACCAAGGCCACGAUGCAUAGCCGACCUGUGAGGGUGAUCGGCCACACUGGGACUGAGACACGGCCCAGACUCCUACGGGAGGCAGCAGUAGGGAAUCUUCGGCAAUGGACGAAAGUCUGACCGAGCAACGCCGCGUGAGUGAAGAAGGUUUUCGGAUCGUAAAACUCUGUUGUUAGAGAAGAACAAGGACGUUAGUAACUGAACGUCCCCUGACGGUAUCUAACCAGAAAGCCACGGCUAACUACGUG